rnacentral:rRNA from 1 species
AUGGUUUCUUUCGGACACUCUUCAAGGUGCUGCAUGGUUGUCGUCAGCUCGUGCCGUGAGGUGUCGGGUUAAGUCCCAUAACCGAGCGCAACCCUUACCGUUAGUUACCAUCAGGUUAAGCUGGGGACUCUAGCGGGACUGCACCGUAAGGUGAGAGGAAGGUGGGGAUGACGUCAAAUCAGCACGGCCCUUAUGUCCAGGGCUACACACGUGUUACAAUGGCCAGUACAAAGGGCAGCUACCGGGUGACCGGAUGCUAAUCUCUAAAGCUGGUCUCAGUUCGGAUCGAAGUCUGCAACCCGACUUCGUGAAGCUGGAUUCGCUAGUAAUCGCGCAUCAGCCAUGGCGCGGUCGAAUACGUUCCCGGGCCUU